GACGAACGCUGGCGGCGUGCUUAACACAUGCAAGUCGAACGAAGAGCGAUGGAAGCUUGCUUCUAUCAAUCUUAGUGGCGAACGGGUGAGUAACGCGUAAUCAACCUGCCCUUCAGAGGGGGACAACAGUUGGAAACGACUGCUAAUGCCGCAUACGAUCUGACCUCGGCAUCGAGGAUAGAUGAAAGGUGGCCUCUAUUUAUAAGCUAUCACUGAAGGAGGGGAUUGCGUCUGCUUAGCUAGUUGGAGGGGUAACGGCCCACCAAGGCGAUGAUCAGUAGCCGGUCUGGGAGGAUGAACGGCCCCAUUGGGACUGAGACACGGCCCAGACUCCUACGGGAGGCAGCAGUGGGGAAUCUUCCGCAAUGGACGAAAGUCUGACGGAGCAACGCCGCGUGAGUGAUGACGGCCUUCGGGUUGUAAAGCUCUGUUAAUCGGGACGAAAGGCCUUCUUGCGAAUAGUUAGAAGGAUUGACGGUACCGGAAUAGAAAGCCACGGCUAACUACGUG
rnacentral:rRNA from 1 species